rnacentral:rRNA from 1 species
AUACGUAGGUGGCAAGCGUUGUCCGGAAUUAUUGGGCGUAAAGCGCGCGCAGGCGGUCCUUUAAGUCUGAUGUGAAAGCCCACGGCUCAACCGGGGAGGGUCAUUGGAAACUGGAGGACUUGAGUGCAGAAGAGGAAAGUGGAAUUCCAAGUGUAGCGGUGAAAUGCGUAGAGAUUUGGAGGAGCACCAGUGGCGAAGGCGACUUUCUGGUCUGUAACUGACGCUGAGGCGCGAAAGCGUGGGGAGCAAACAGGAUUAGAUACCCUGGUAGUCCACGCCGUAAACGAUGAGUGCUAAGUGUUAGGGGGUUUCCGCCCCUUAGUGCUGCAGCUAACGCAUUAAGCACUCCGCCUGGGGAGUACGGUCGCAAGACUGAAACUCAAAUGAAUUGGCGGGG